rnacentral:rRNA from 1 species
UACGUAGGGGGCGAGCGUUGUCCGGAAUUAUUGGGCGUAAAGCGCGUGUAGGCGGGUUUUUAAGUCGGGUGUGAAAACUCUGGGCUCAACCCAGAGACUGCAUCCGAAACUGGAGACCUUGAGGGCGGGAGAGGAAAGUGGAAUUCCUAGUGUAGCGGUGAAAUGCGUAGAUAUUAGGAGGAACACCAGUGGCGAAGGCGACUUUCUGGCCCGAACCUGACGCUGAGACGCGAAAGCGUGGGGAGCAAACAGG